CCCUUAGAUGUUCUGGGCCGCACGCGCGCUGCACUGACGAUGUCAGAGAGUGUCUCCUUCACCGAGAGGUGUGGGUAAUCUUUUAAACAUCGUCGUGCUGGGGAUAGAUCAUUGCAAUUUUUGAUCUUAAACGAGGAAUUCCUAGUAAGCGCGAGUCAUCAGCUCGCGCUGAUUACGUCCCUGCCCUUUGUACACACCGCCCGUCGCUACUACCGAUUGAAUGGUUUAGUGAGGCCUUCUGACUGGCGCCGCUACUCUGGCAACAGAGCGGCGGAUGCCGGGAAGUUGGUCAAACUUGAUCAUUUAGAGGAAGUAAAAGUCGUAACA
rnacentral:rRNA from 1 species